AACGAACGCUGGCGGCAUGCCUAACACAUGCAAGUCGAACGGGAUCCUAGCUUGCUAGGUGAGAGUGGCGGACGGGUGAGUAACACGUGGGAAUCUGCCCUUUGGUCCGGGAUAACCGCGGGAAACUGCGGCUAAUACCGGAUGCCCUCGCGAGAGGAAAGAUUUAUCGCCAGAGGAGGAGCCCGCGUCCGAUUAGGUAGUUGGUGGGGUAAAGGCCUACCAAGCCGACGAUCGGUAGCUGGUCUGAGAGGAUGAUCAGCCACACUGGGACUGAGAUACGGCCCAGACCCCUACGGGAGGCAGCAGUGGGGAAUAUUGGACAAUGGGGGCAACCCUGAUCCAGCAAUGCCGCGUGAGUGAUGAAGGCCUUAGGGUUGUAAAGCUCUUUUGCCAGGGAAGAUGAUGACUGUACCUGGAGAAUAAGCCCCGGCUAACUUCGUGCCAGCCGCCGCGGUAA
rnacentral:rRNA from 1 species